UUACACAUGCAAGUCGAACGGCAGCACGGGGGCAACCCUGGUGGCGAGGUGGCGAACGGGUGAGUAAAGCAGUCGGAACGUGCCCUGGAGUGGGGGAUAACGUAGCGAAAGUUACGCUAAUACCGCAUAUUCUGUGAGCAGGAAAGCAGGGGGAUCGCAAGACCUUGCGCUCUGGGAGCGGCCGAUGUCGGAUUAGCUAGUUGGUGGGGUAAAGGCCUACCAAGGCGACGAUCCGUAGCGGGUCUGAGAGGAUGAUCCGCCACACUGGGACUGAGACACGGCCCAGACUCCUACGGGAGGCAGCAGUGGGGAAUUUUGGACAAUGGGCGGAAGCCUGAUCCAGCCAUGCCGCGUGAGUGAAGAAGGCCUUCGGGUUGUAAAGCUCUUUCAGCCGGAAAGAAAACGCACGGGUUAAUAACCUGUGUGGAUGACGGUACCGGAAGAAGAAGCACCGGCUAACUACGUG
rnacentral:rRNA from 1 species